rnacentral:rRNA from 1 species
UACGAAGGGUGCAAGCGUUACUCGGAAUUACUGGGCGUAAAGCGUGCGUAGGUGGUUUGUUAAGUCUGAUGUGAAAGCCCUGGGCUCAACCUGGGAACUGCAUUGGAAACUGGCUUACUAGAGUGCGGUAGAGGGGUGUGGAAUUCCCGGUGUAGCAGUGAAAUGCGCAGAUAUCGGGAGGAACACCCGUAGCGAAGGCGGCACUCUGGGCCGGAACUGACGCUGAGGAGCGAAAGCGUGGGGAGCAAACAGGG